rnacentral:rRNA from 1 species
GAUGAACGCUAGCGGCAGGCCUAAUACAUGCAAGUCAAGGGGCUCAGCAACGGGCACCGGCGGACGGGUGCGUAACGCGUACACAACAUACCUUUAAGUGGGGGAUAGCAUUGGGAAACUGGUGGUAAUACCCCAUAAUAAUAUCGGGAGGCAUUUCCUGAUAUUUAAAGCUACGGCGCUUAGAGAUUGGUGUGCGUCUGAUUAGCUAGUUGGUGGGGUAACGGCUCACCAAGGCGACGAUCAGUAGGGGGUGUGAGAGCAUGACCCCCCACACGGGUACUGAGACACGGACCCGACUCCUACGGGAGGCAGCAGUAAGGAAUAUUGGACAAUGGAGGGAACUCUGAUCCAGCCAUGCCGCGUGAAGGAUGAAGGCGCUCAGCGUUGUAAACUUCUUUUGGAUGGGAACAAUAACUUCUACGUGUAGGAGCUUGAGGGUACCAUCAGAAUAAGCACCGGCUAACUCCGUGCCAGCAGCCGCCGUAAUAC